GGUAGCAUGGUCGAGGGGCUUAGGCAGAGGUCUGCAAAACCUUUUACAUCAGUUCGAAUCUGAUUGCUACCUCCA
rnacentral:tRNA from 1 species